CGCGGCCUAUCAGCUUGUUGGUGGGGUAACGGCCUACCAAGGCAUCGACGGGUAGCUGGUCUGAGAGGACGAUCAGCCACACUGGGACUGAGACACGGCCCAGACUCCUACGGGAGGCAGCAGUAGGGAAUCUUGCGCAAUGGGGGAAACCCUGACGCAGCAACGCCGCGUGUGGGAUGACGGCUUUCGGGUUGUAAACCACUUUCAGUGAUGACGAAAAUGACGGUAAUCACAGAAGAAGGUCCGGCCAACUACGUGCCAGCAGCCGCGGUAACACGUAGGGACCGAGCGUUGUCCGGAUUUAUUGGGCGUAAAGAGCUCGUAGGCGGUUCUGUAAGUCGGAUGUGAAAACUCAGGGCUCAACCCUGAGACGCCAUCUGAUACUGCAGUGACUAGAGUCCGGUAGGGGAAGAUGGAAUUCCUGGUGUAGCGGUGGAAUGCGCAGAUAUCAGGAGGAACACCAAUGGCGAAGGCAGUCUUCUGGGCCGGUACUGACGCUGAGGAGCGAAAGCAUGGGGAGCAAACAGGAUUAGAUACCCUGGUAGUCCAUGCCGUAAACGUUGGGCACUAGGUGUGGGGUCUUCUAACGGAUUCCGUGCCGUAGCUAACGCAUUAAGUGCCCCGCCUGGGGAGUACGG
rnacentral:rRNA from 1 species